rfam:Cavia porcellus supercont2_37 genomic scaffold, whole genome shotgun sequence.
GGGGAUUUAGCUCAGUGGCAUAAGCGCCUGCCUUGUAAGCAGGCAAUCGCCAGUUCGAUCCCUGGUACCA